rnacentral:rRNA from 1 species
UACAGAGGGUGCGAGCGUUAAUCGGAAUUACUGGGCGUAAAGGGCGCGUAGGUUGUGUAUUAAGUGACAUGUGAAAUCCCUGGGCUUAACCUAGGACUGGCAUGUUAGACUGGUACGCUAGAGUACGAUAGAGGGUAGUGGAAUUUCCGGUGUAGCGGUGAAAUGCGUAGAUAUCGGAAGGAACAUCAGUGGCGAAGGCGGCUACCUGGAUUGAUACUGACACUGAGGCGCGAGAGCGUGGGGAGCAAACAGG